AAUAAAAUUGUAUUUAUCAGUUUAAUAGAUCUGUUCACUGGUUUGUCUUUUGUAAUAUUGUAUUUUUUAUACUUGUUAAAAUUUUAUUCUUUAUUUCUGGACAACAUUAUAUAUAAGUGCGUGAGAGACUUUAAAUGACAAUAAGGAGUGUAAAAUUAAUAAGUAACUUAAUAUGAAAUCAUCCGAGAUAUACGUAUCACAAUUUUGCUACUGCUGUAAAGCCAUUGACGUCACAUCCCAUACCACAAGCACGGAACGGUAAUAGUUAUUUCUAAGCCCCACAUUACAGAAAUAUACAAAAUAUUUGUAUACCAAAUAAUUUAUUUUACAUCCGCAACUGUGAAUAGUUGCGGUUUAUUUUCAUACACAUAACUGUAUUUUUACAUUAAUUUUGAUAUUAUUUUAGUCCGAACAAAGAGGACAGGCUUUUUAUUAACACAUGACAUUAAAAAAGAAAGUAUAGAUACUUAAAUUUUUCUUAAAUUUGUACUAGUUUGUCUCUUAGAACAGAUAAAAUUUAUAUAUAUAUAUAAUUUUAUCUGGGAUCUUUACCCUUUGAACGAGAAAUUAAUUUUUUGUAACUAAACGACUUUCAAACUUCGGACACUGGUAGAAUGUGUCAUAUAAAACAUCUUUUACUUUUAGGGUUGUUGAGAAAGGUUUGUAAUUUCAAAGUUAUUUAGUGUUAAAGUAGUCGUAUUUCGAUAAUUUCAACCUAUCAAUGACGUGUAUUCAGCUGAAUAAAAUUACUGCUGUUGUUUGUCAAUAACUUCCGGCGGUGUAUAUUUCGUUUGUCACUGUUAUGAAUAAACGAGUGUAUCUGAAGCAUGUUUACUUCAUGGCACCACCACAAUCGUUCGUGCAUUUCUACUGCUUUUAGUUUGUUUGUUUUUUCCUGUUUUUCAGCUACUAUUUUCGGAAAAACUUUUUUGAUCCACCUUCCCCUCCACUUUUACCGUAACUAACCCUAAAAUCCCAACCCUAAAGCUAAAACCAGUACAAACACACAAACGAUGUCAUAAAUAACAGUGACAAACGAAAUAUAAACCACUGAUAGUUGACAAACAAUGGCAGUAAUUUUAUUCAGCUGAAUACAUGUCACUGAUUGAUUAAAAUUACCGAAAUACGACUACUUUAUCACAAAAUAACUUUGAAAAUAUAAACUUUUCUCAACAACACUAAGAGUAAAAGAUGUUUUAUAUGACACCACCCAUACCUUCAAAUAUUUUAGAAAGUAGCACGUUAUUGAUCUUGAGUUUUAAAACUUAUAAUAUACCUCUUAGUUGGAAAUCAGUGCAUAGGUAGCAUGCCCUUACAGCAUUAAUUUUUCUUUUAGUUAAUACUAUGUAUCAGUGGUUAAAGACACAAGCUAAUUAAAUAAAUAGACAAUUUUUAAUUUUAAAUACUUGAAUUAUUACAUAUUUUCUAUAAAUCUUCUCUAUUGAUUUAAGUGAUUAAGCUAUUUUAUAUCCUUUUCUAUGGUGUUUCUACCCUACCUGAUCAUUUGAAUACUUUAUAAUUACCUUCAGAAAAAAUCUAAAUUUUUGGAGCCCUAUAAAUCCAUACUUAGCUUAUAAUAACCAAUAGGGGUAUCUUCACAAUCUAAAAUUAAACUGGCUAAAUUAUAAUUUAACUAAUUUAUAGUAAAUUUGUUCUCUCACCUAAAUAAUUAAUCUUCCUGAUAACCUUAAAUUUUAACUUUAUACAAUAAUGACAUUGUUUUUUGAAAUAGUUUUAGUAACUAAGUUUUUAUCCCUUUCUUAAAGUGUUCUGUCCUCUUAAUUUUGGUAUUUAUAUUGGCUUUAUACAAACAGCCCUUCUAAUUAAGUAUCCCUAAGAAACUGUAAUAUCAUUUAUGGAUUAACACAAAUAACUUUUGAAAUCUAUAUUAUACCUCUUAAUUUAAUAUUAGUAUAUGAUUAGCAUGUCCUUUUAACAAUAAUUAUUCUUUCAACCAAUACCGGAUUUUAGUCCUGAUUAUAGUAAACUAAAUAAGUUAACAAUUUUUAGCUCAUAAAUUAUUAUACAUUUUCUAUAAAUACUUGCUAUUGGAGUUAAUAAGGUAUAGAUAUUUUAUUAUGGUUUAUAGUGAUAAGGCUGUUUUUAUUCCUUUUCCAUGAUGCUCUAUCCUAACUGAUCAUUUUUAUUAUUGUUAUUUUAUAGUAGCCUUAAAUAAAUCUAAUCCUUGUACCCCUAUUAAUUCAUACUCAGUUUAUAUAAAUAAGGUAAUACUGGUAUCUGUACAACUUAAAAUAGUUCAAUUUAAUUAAAUCAGUAUAUCGUUGACAUGUUCUUUAACCUCAGUUGCUCCCUUAUUAAAUACCAGUUAAAUCCAUUUGAUCAAUCUCCAUAGAAACCAUAUAAUAAGUUAAUAUUUAGAAAAGUAAUAAGUAAAUAAAUUCUGUUGUGUCUGGGGAGAGUCAUUUUCUUUUUGUGCCUUAUAAUGUAACACACUCACCGGUAAAAUUUCCACUUAUUUCUUAUUUUUAUUUUCCUAAAAUUUUCAUUGCAUUUUGCAACCUUUUCAAUAGUCUUGACUCUGUCCAUUAUUUACACUGCGUUCCCUCUUAGGAGAAUAAAAAUAAGAAAUAAGUGGAAAUUUUACCAGUGAGUGUGUUACAUUAUAAGGCACAAAAAGAAAAUGACUCUCCCCAGACACAACAGAAUAUGCUUCAACACACAAACUCAUAUAAAGAAUCUUGCAAACCAAAUCCAAAAACGAAAGUAAAUAUAUAUUAAACUAUUUCUUUGUUAAAAUUUCAUUCUAAAUAAUCUUGAUUACCCUAAAUUUUAACUUUAUACAAUAAGACAAUAUUGUUUGAAAUGAUAUUUAGAAAUUACUUGAUUUAUCUCUUUCUUAAAUGGCUCUACCCUCCUGAUCUUAGUAAUUAUAAGGGCCUUUAUAUAAAUAACCCUUCUAAAUAAGUACCACUAAGAAACUAUAAAUAUCAUGUAGGGAGUAACAAUAACUUCUUAAACCUAUAAUAUUACCCUUACAUUAAAAAAAAGAUUAGUGUAAAAUAUGAUUGUUCCAUAACUUAAAUAUUCCUUUAGCCAAUACUAAACAUCUGUCUUUUAUUGAUAUUAGCUAAAUAAGUAAAUAUAUAUAGCAAUAAUAAAUCUCUGAACGAGAUGUAAAUAUAUAAUUUUUAGUCUAAUAUAUUUUGAAUUAUACUUUUUCUAAAAAUCUUCUCUAUUGGUGUUAACAAGCUACAUAUACCUUACCAUAGUAUUAGUAAUUAAGCCAUUUUAUUUCCUUUUCUAUGGUGUUCUGCCCUACUUGAUUAUUUUAUUUUAUUUCUUUAUUAUUUUAUAAUUAGCCUUUAUUUAUUUAUAAAAUUAAUCUAAUUUUUGUAUCUCUAUAAAUUCAUACUUAGCUUAUAUAAAAUUAUACUGGUAUAUUCACUACUUAUAAAAAAUACUGCUUAGAUUAAAAUUAUUAAUAUAUAAUUAGCAUGUUCCUUUGCCCCAAUUCUCGUUUAUUAAUACCAGUAUAUACCAAUUAAUCAAUAUUCACAGAUACCAUCUGAUGAGUUAGUAUUUAAGUAUAUAAUAUGUAUAAAUAUUAAACUAUUUCUGGAUAAUUUCUUUUCCUCUCUCUAUUGUGGUAAAAGUUUGGUAUAUACUCAAAAGUAUUCAUAAAUUUCUAUCCUUUUGUUAUAAUAUUCUUCUUAAUAAUCCUUUGAAUAACCCUAAACUUUAACUGUAUACAAUAUAACAACAUUGUUUAAUAUAUUUAACUUUAGCACCACAUAAGACUUCCCCUGUUUCAUUAUCAAUAGUCUGCUAGUGGGCUACCCCCUUAAUUAUCAGCUAACAUCUUAAGUUUUCCCUUACUAAACCUCAUGAUAUUGCUUGCAGCAGAGGAUCAUGGACUGGCAACUCAAGCUGGCUGUGGACAAAUGUACCACCAUGCAUUUUGGGAGGAGAAACCCAGCGUCCACCUACUCCCUCCACAACACUAGUCUCAAAAAGUC
rnacentral:lncRNA from 1 species